rnacentral:lncRNA from 1 species
UUGGAAGAAACAAUCACCCAUAUCUUCUUAACAUAUAAAUUGGUUGGGCUUCGGCCCACAGCCGAGUUGGUUGGGGAGUGGUUGUCCAUGUGGGUGACCCGGGCUCGAUUCCAGCUCCCGUCUGCCACUUGGUUUCGCCUACCGGAUGGGGCUUAUGUAAUCUGAUUUACAUCUUUCGUGGGCUUUGCAGGCUGGUUCACGUGGGGUGUUUAAUUCAACUUGGC